UUUGAUCCUGGCUCAGGAUCAAUGCUGGCGGCGCGCCUAACACAAGCAAGACGAAGGGCACCCGCCCUCGGGCGGAAGCGAGUGGCGAACGGCUGAGUAACACGUGGAGAACCCGCCCCCUCCUCCGGGAUAGCCUCGGGAAACCGUGGGUAAUACCGGAUGACCCCGGCAGGCCGCAUGGCCGGCCGGCAAAGCCCAGACGGAGGGAUGCUCCGCGGCCCAUAAGGUAGACGGCGGGGUGACGGCCCACCGUGCCGACGACGGGUAGCCGGGUUGAGUGACCGACCCGCCAGAUUCGGACUGAGACACGCCCCAGACUCUACGGGAGGCAGCAGUGGGGAAUCUUGCGCAAUGGGGGGAACCCUGACGCAGCGACGCGCGUGCGGGACGAAGGCCCUCGGGUCGUAAACCGCUUUCAGCAGGGAUGAGACAAGACGGUACCAGCAGAAGAAGCCCCGGCAAACUACGUGCCAGCAGCCGCGGUAA
rnacentral:rRNA from 1 species